rnacentral:misc_RNA from 1 species
GAUGAAGAACGCAGCGAAAUGCGAUACGUAAUGUGAAUUGCAGAAUUCAGUGAAUCAUCGAGUCUUUGAACGCACAUUGCGCCCCCUGGUAUUCCGGGGGGCAUGCCUGUUCGAGCGUCAUUUCACCACUCAAGCCUCGCUUGGUAUUGGGCAACGCGGUCCGCCGCGUGCCUCAAAUCGUCCGGCUGGGUCUUCUGUCCCCUAAGCGUUGUGGAAACUAUUCGCUAAAGGGUGUUCGGGAGGCUACGCCGUAAAACAACCCCAUUUCUAAGGUUGACCUCGGAUCAGGUAGGGAUACCCGCUGAACUUAAGCAUAUCAAUAAGCGGAGGA